rnacentral:tRNA from 1 species
GCACCGGUAGCUCAAUUGGAUAGAGCACCAGACUUCGACUCUGGCGGUUGGAGGUUCGAGUCCUCUCCGGUGUA